GACGAACGCUGGCGGCGUGCUUAACACAUGCAAGUCGAACGGAAAGGCCCUGCUUUUGUGGGGUGCUCGAGUGGCGAACGGGUGAGUAACACGUGAGUAACCUGCCCUUGACUUUGGGAUAACUUCAGGAAACUGGGGCUAAUACCGGAUAGGAGCUCCUGCUGCAUGGUGGGGGUUGGAAAGUUUCGGCGGUUGGGGAUGGACUCGCGGCUUAUCAGCUUGUUGGUGGGGUAGUGGCUUACCAAGGCUUUGACGGGUAGCCGGCCUGAGAGGGUGACCGGCCACAUUGGGACUGAGAUACGGCCCAGACUCCUACGGGGUGCAGCAGUGGGGAAUAUUGCACAAUGGGCGGAAGCCUGAUGCAGCAACGCCGCGUGCGGGAUGACGGCCUUCGGGUUGUAAACCGCUUUCGCCUGUGACGAAGCGUGAGUGACGGUAAUGGGUAAAGAAGCACCGGCUAACUACGUG
rnacentral:rRNA from 1 species